rnacentral:snoRNA from 1 species
GGAAAAUAUCGGACAGUCUGAUUACCACUGAAGACUGAUAAGAUCCAACUCUGA